UGAGGGGACGGUGAGGUUGAGAAGGGUCAAAGGUAGCUCGGAACACAGGAUCAAGGAGAGGCAUGGGUGGAGAGAGAGGAUUUCCUGGAGAAUCCGAAGCCGGCAGAGGGCAGCAGCUGCCCACAGACGCGCAGCUUCAACCGGUGGUUGAAGGAUGAGGACAGCCUGAGCCCCGGAGACUCAUCGUGGGGAAGGUCGUCCCAGCUGAGGACUUGGACCUGCCGUGCGGUGGCUGAGUUCCUGACCCACAGAGCUCUGAGGCGUGAUAAUAAAACACUGCGU